AGUUUUGCGCAGUGGCAGUAUUGUAGCCAACGAGGUGUAUCUGAGGUGCAAUUAAUGCUAAUUGAAAACUUUUCCCAAUAAAGUAAAAUGCUCAGCGAUACUAUUAAGGAAUCAUAUUAAUAAUUCCUCUUUUCAAAGU